rnacentral:rRNA from 1 species
UACAGAGGUCUCAAGCGUUGUUCGGAUUCAUUGGGCGUAAAGGGUGCGUAGGCGGCGCGGUAAGUCGGGUGUGAAAUCUCGGGAGCUUAACUCCGAAACUGCAUUCGAUACUGCCGUGCUUGAGGACUGGAGAGGAGACUGGAAUUUACGGUGUAGCGGUGAAAUGCGUAGAUAUCGUAAGGAAGACCAGUGGCGAAGGCGGGUCUCUGGACAGUUCCUGACGCUGAGGCACGAAGGUCAGGGGAGCAAACGGGA